rnacentral:rRNA from 1 species
UACAGAGGGUGCAAACGUUGCUCGGAAUUACUGGGCGUAAAGCGCACGUAGGCGGUCUUUUAAGUCGGGGGUGAAAUCCUGGAGCUCAACUCCAGAACUGCCUUCGAUACUGGAAGACUUGAGUCCGGGAGAGGUGAGUGGAACUGCGAGUGUAGAGGUGAAAUUCGUAGAUAUUCGCAAGAACACCAGUGGCGAAGGCGGCUCACUGGCCCGGUACUGACGCUGAGGUGCGAAAGCGUGGGGAGCAAACAGGG